UAAAGUGUUAGAGGGGUUUCCGCCCGUUAGUGCUGCAGCAAACGCAUUAAAGCACUCCGCCUGGGGGAGUACGGUCGCAAGACUGAAACUCAAAGGGAAUUGACGGGGACCCGCACAAGCGGUGGAGCAUGUGGGUUUAAUUCGAAGCAACGCGAAGAACCUUACCAGGUCUUGACAUCCUCUGCUACUUCUAGAGAUAGAAGGUUCCCUUCGGGGACAGAGUGACAGGUGGUGCAUGGUUGUCGUCAGCUCGUGUCGUGAGAUGUUGGGUUAAGUCCCGCAACGAGCGCAACCCUUGAUCUUAGUUGCCAGCAUUCAGUUGGGCACUCUAAGGUGACUGCCGGUGACAAACCGGAGGAAGGUGGGGAUGACGUCAAAUCAUCAUGCCCCUUAUGACCUGGGCUACACACGUGCUACAAUGGAUGGUACAAAGGGCUGCAAAACCGUGAGGUCGAGCCAAUCCCAUAAAACCAUUCUCAGUUCGGAUUGUAGGCUGCAACUCGCCUACAUGAAGCCGGAAUCGCUAGUAAUCGCGGAUCAGCAUGCCGCGGUGAAUACGUUCCCGGGUCUUGUACACACCGCCCGUCACACCACGAGAGUUUGUAACACCCGAAGUCGG
rnacentral:rRNA from 2 species